rnacentral:tRNA from 1 species
GAGGGUAUAGUGCAGUGGUAGCGUGCAUGCUUAGCAUGCUCAGGGUUCUGGAUUCAAUCCCCAGUACUUUCA